rnacentral:misc_RNA from 1 species
CAGAGUUGCAAGACUCCCUAAACCAUUGUGAACCUACCUUCUACCGUUGCUUCGGCGGGCGGGCCCAGCGCCCCCCCCGGCCCCCCGCGGGCGCCCGUCGGAGGAUACCCAAACUCUUGACAUUAGUGGCCUCUCUGAGUAUUCUUUACUGAAUAAGUCA